UCUGCACCAUUUCAGACCAUUUUUACCCAAAACACAGCAGCAAAAAGCACUUGGGGUCCCCAGUGCCACAGCCAGGAAGGGGUGUCCAUCUCCCCCUGGGGCUGAAAAACCCAUGUAGAGCCAAAUCCAGACCAUCUUUACCCAAAAUACAGCAGCAAAAUGCACUUGAGCCCGUGGUGCUGCAGCCAGGAGGGGGUGUCCCCCCCCGGGGGCUGAAAAACCCCCAUAGAGCCAAAUCCACACCAUUUCAGACCAUUUUUACCCAAAAAACACAGCAGAAAGCACUCGGGGUCCCCAGGGGGUGUCCCCCCCACUUUUCUGUGUCCCUGGCACCACUGUGGGGGGGGGGGGGUUUUUUUUUUGGUCCCCCCCCCCCCCCCCGGCGCGGAAGGAAGGAGCCGGGCGCUGCGGUAGAUGUUUAUUUCAAGAAACCCGAAAAAGCUACACAGGGAAUAUGGACCGUUAUAGUGAAGUUUUUAAAAAAUACAGAAGUCACAGAAAUUACACCAACUUGUGCCAGAAUCGUCUGUAAAGCGGUGGG
rnacentral:lncRNA from 1 species